UACAGAGGUUGCAAGCGUUGUUCGGAAUUACUGGGCGUAAAGGGCGCGUAGGCGGUCUUGUAAGUCCCGUGUGAAAGCCCCCGGCUCAACUGGGGAAUGGCACGGGAAACUGCGAGGCUUGAGUUCGGGAGAGGGAAGCUGAAUUCCGGGUGUAGCGGUGAAAUGCGUAGAUAUCCGGAGGAACACCGGUGGCGAAGGCGGCUUCCUGGACCUACACUGACGCUGAGGCGCGAAAGCUAGGGGAGCAAACGGG
rnacentral:rRNA from 1 species